GACGAACGCUGGCGGCGUGCUUAACACAUGCAAGUCGAACGGAAAGGCCCUGCUUUUGUGGGGUGCUCGAGUGGCGAACGGGUGAGUAACACGUGAGUAACCUGCCCUUGACUUUGGGAUAACUUCAGGAAACUGGGGCUAAUACCGGAUAGGAGCUCCUGCUGCAGGGUGGGGGUUGGAAAGUUUCGGCGGUUGGGGAUGGACUCGCGGCUUAUCAGCUUGUUGGUGGGGUAGUGGCUUACCAAGGCUUUGACGGGUAGCCGGCCUGAGAGGGUGACCGGCCACAUUGGGACUGAGAUACGGCCCAGACUCCUACGGGAGGCAGCAGUGGGGAAUAUUGCACAAUGGGCGGAAGCCUGAUGCAGCAACGCCGCGUGCGGGAUGACGGCCUUCGGGUUGUAAACCGCUUUAGCCUGUGACGAAGCGUGAGUGACGGUAAUGGGUAAAGAAGCACCGGCUAACUACGUG
rnacentral:rRNA from 1 species